rnacentral:rRNA from 1 species
CCUACGGGAGGCAGCAGUAAGGAAUAUUGGUCAAUGGAGGCAACUCUGAACCAGCCAUGCCGCGUGCAGGAAGAAGGCCCUAUGGGUCGUAAACUGCUUUUGUACCAGAGAAAACCCGAGUACGUGUACUCGGUUGAUAGUAUGGUAAGAAUAAGCAUCGGCUAACUUCGUGCCAGCAGCCGCGGUAAGACGAAGGAUGCAAGCGUUAUCCGGAUUCAUUGGGUUUAAAGGGUGCGUAGGCGGACUGAUAAGUCAGUGGUGAAAUCUCUCGGCUUAACCGAGAAACUGCCAUUGAUACUGUUAGUCUAGAGUAUAGAUGACGUUGGCGGAAUAUGACAUGUAGUGGUGAAAUACUUAGAUAUGUCAUAGAACACCGAUUGCGAAGGCAGCUAACGAAACUAUAACUGACGCUGAGGCACGAAAGUGCGGGGAUCAAACAGGAUUAGAUACCCUGGUAGUCCGCACCGUAAACGAUGAUUACUCGUUGUUGGCAAUAUGACCGUCAGCGACCAAGCGAAAGCGAUAAGUAAUCCACCUGGGGAGUACGCCGGCAACGGUGAACUUAAAGAUAUGCGNGAGAGAGCGACGACGACGACGACGGAGGGAGGAGG